rnacentral:rRNA from 1 species
UACAGAGGUCUCGAGCGUUAGGCGGAAUCACUGGGCUUAAAGCGUGCGCAGGCGGUUUUGUAAGUCUGACGUGAAAUCCCCGGGCUUAACCUGGGAAUUGCGUUGGAGACUGCAAGGCUGGAGUCUGGCAGAGGGGGGUAGAAUUCCACGUGUAGCAGUGAAAUGCGUAGAGAUGUGGAGGAACACCGAUGGCGAAGGCAGCCCCCUGGGUCAAGACUGACGCUCAUGCACGAAAGCGUGGGGAGCAAACAGG